rnacentral:lncRNA from 1 species
GCUUUAUGUGAUACCAUGAAUGUUCACAGGUUGUGUCAUGGAGGCAGCAGGACAGAGAGGCUUCAGUGGGGCUACCGUUCUACAACAAACCACCCAAGCACACAGAAGAGGAUAGCCCAGUCCUUUUAUGCUGUUUCACAAGAGGAGCACAGCAGUCUUCAAAGAAGCAAACAGAAAACAGCCUGGAAGCCCUUGGAGAAACCAUCCUGACUUCACACCACCUGAGAGGUGUUCCAAGGCAAGACCUUCCUGAUACAGUCCCACAGGACAGCAACAGUGUCC